rnacentral:rRNA from 1 species
CCUACGGGAUGCAGCAGUGAGGAAUAUUGGUCAAUGGACGAGAGUCUGAACCAGCCAAGUAUCGUGAAGGAUGACUGCCCUAUGGGUUGUAAACUUCUUUUAUAAAGGAAUAAAACGAGGCACGUGUGCCUUUUUGCAUGUACUUUAUGAAUAAGGAUCGGCUAACUCCGUGCCCGCAGCCGCGGUAAUACGGAGGAUCCGAGCGUUAUCCGGAUUUAUUGGGUUUAAAGGGAGCGUAGAUGGGUUGUUAAGUCAGUUGUGAAAGUUUGCGGCUCAACCGUAAAAUUGCAAUUGAUACUGGCAGUCUUGAGUACAGUUGAGGUAGGCGGAAUUCGUGGUGUAGCGGUGAAAUGCUUAGAUAUCACGAAGAACCCCGAUUGCGAAGGCAGCUUACUAAACUGUGACUGACAUUGAUGCUCGAAAGUGUGGGUAUCAAACAGGAUUAGAUACCCUUGUAGUC